GAUGAACGCUGGCGGCGUGCUUAACACAUGCAAGUCGAACGGAGAACCCCUGAACGAGUUUUCGGACAAGUGAUGGGAAUUCUUAGUGGCGGACGGGUGAGUAACGCGUGAGGAACCUGCCUUGGAGAGGGGAAUAACACAGAGAAAUUUGUGCUAAUACCGCAUGAAGCAGUUAUAUCGCAUGGUAUUGACUGCCAAAGAUUUAUCGCUCUGAGAUGGCCUCGCGUCUGAUUAGCUAGUUGGCGGGGUAACGGCCCACCAAGGCGACGAUCAGUAGCCGGACUGAGAGGUUGGCCGGCCACAUUGGGACUGAGACACGGCCCAGACUCC
rnacentral:rRNA from 1 species